rnacentral:pre_miRNA from 1 species
AGGAGGAACAACCGCAGUGGCGGUGGCAGCUCUGGAGUCCGGAGUCAGCUCCAGCAGUAAUUCCGGAGCUCUAGGUCUUCAGGGCCUGGAGGCUCCGGGGCGGG